rnacentral:SRP_RNA from 1 species
GCCAGGCGCGGUGGCGCGUGCCUAUAGUCCCAGCUACUCGGGAGGCUGAGGCUGGAGGAUCACUUGAGCCCAGGAGUUCUGGGCUGUAGUGCGCUAUGCCGAUCGGGUGUCCACACUAAGUUUGGCAUCAAUAUGGUGACCUCUUUGGAGCGGGGGACCACCAGGUUGCCUAGGGAAGGCUGAACCAGCCCUGGUCGGACACAGAGCAGGUCAAAACUCCCAUGCUGAUCAGUAGUGGGAUCAUGCCUGCACUCCAGCGUGGGCAACAUAGCAAGACCCAGUCUCU